UACAGAGGGUGCAAGCGUUAAUCGGAAUUACUGGGCGUAAAGCGCGCGUAGGUGGUUUGUUAAGUCGGAUGUGAAAUCCCAGGGCUCAACCUUGGAAUGGCACCCGAUACUGGCAGGCUAGAGUAUGGUAGAGGGGUGUGGAAUUUCCUGUGUAGCGGUGAAAUGCGUAGAUAUAGGAAGGAACAUCAGUGGCGAAGGCGACACCCUGGACUAAUACUGACACUGAGGUGCGAAAGCGUGGGGAGCAAACAGGAUUAAAAACCCCCGUAGUCC
rnacentral:rRNA from 1 species